rnacentral:rRNA from 1 species
UCUACGGGGCGCAGCAGUGAGGAAUAUUGGUCAAUGGGCGCGAGCCUGAACCAGCCAAGUCGCGUGAGGGAAGACGGUCCUAUGGAUUGUAAACCUCUUUUGUCGGGGAGCAAAAGACGCCACGCGUGGCGUUCCGAGAGUACCCGAAGAAAAAGCAUCGGCUAACUACGUGCCAGCAGCCGCGGUAAUACGUGGGUGGCAAGCGUUGUCCGGAUUUAUUGGGCGUAAAGCGAGUGCAGGCG